rnacentral:rRNA from 1 species
UACGUAGGGACCAAGCGUUGUUCGGAUUUACUGGGCGUAAAGGGCGCGUAGGCGGCUUUGCAAGUGACGGGUGAAAUCCCUCGGCUUAACCGAGGAACUGCCUGUCAAACUGCAUGGCUUGAGACCGGGAGAGGUGAGUGGAAUUCCCAGUGUAGCGGUGAAAUGCGUAGAUAUUGGGAGGAACACCAGUGGCGAAGGCGGCUCACUGGACCGGUACUGACGCUGAGGCGCGAAAGCGUGGGGAGCAAACAGG